rnacentral:tRNA from 1 species
ACCUUUGUGAUGAAAUGGUAAACAUAUCGACUUCAAAAGCCGACGCUCCUGAGGCUUGCCGGUUCGAGUCCGGUCAAAGGUA